AUUGAACGCUGGCGGCAGGCCUAACACAUGCAAGUCGAACGAGGGGCGGACGGGUGAGGAAUGUCUGGGAACCUGCCCGAUGGAGGGGGAUAACUACUGGAAACGGUAGCUAAUACCGCAUACUAUCGGAUGUGCCCAGAUGGGAUUAGCUAGUAGGUGGGGUAACGGCGCACCUAGGCGACCAUCCCUAGCUGGUCUGAGAGGAUGACCAGCCACGCUGGAACUGAGACACGGUCCAGACUCCUACGGGAGGCAGCAGUGGGGAAUAUUGCACAAUGGGCGCAAGCCUGAUGCAGCCAUGCCGCGUGUGUGAAGAAGGCCUUCGGGUUGUAAAGUACUUUCAGCGAGGAGGCGUUACUCGCAGAAGAAGCACCGGCUAACUCCGUGCCAGCAGCCGCGGUAAUUC
rnacentral:rRNA from 1 species